GACUUUUCCAAGAGGAAAGGCGUUAGACGGCCUUUCAGGCAGAACCCGAUAAAUAUCCAGCCACAGAGACCGAGGUUGAUGUGAGGAUCGCGCAGAUUCAGCUUCUCAAUGCCAAGAGGAAGUGGCUAGUUUCAGCGUCCACGGUUCCCAUGGUGACUCUCCUCACUUCCGGCCGGGCGCAAACGCACCCCUAGCCACACGCCCUAAUACGAGGAUAGCUCGUGACAAACAGAAUGCAGUAUCCCUAAAGCCUCUGCAGUCCCUGCGAUUGUGGGAUCCUGACUAUGUCAGGAUUUUGGCUUUGCAGGGUGUGGUAAGGGUCUUGCUCUUGCCUGGGGCUGGAGUGCAGGGUGAAGUCACACCUCAUUGCAGCCUCAACCUCCCAGACUCAAGCAAUCCUCCCACCUCAGCAGGCAUAUAUAAAUGGAAUCAUCGAAAUUUAAAAUUUGCACUUCAAAGAACACCAUCAAGAAAGUGAAGACAACCCAGAGAAUGGGAGAAAAUAUUUGCAAUCAUAUAUCUGAUAAAGGACAUGUAUACAGAAUUUUGUAAAACUAUUACAACUGAAUAAUAAGAACAAAUAACACAAUGAAAAAAAUGGCAAAGUAUUUGGUUAGAUAGUUCUCCAAAGAAGAUAUAUAAUGGCCAAUAAACACAUGAAAAGCUGCUGAACAUCAUUAGCCAUCAGGGAAAUGCAAAUCAAAACGACAGUGAGAUACCACUUCCCACCUACUAGCUUGACCGUAAUCCAGAAGACAGAUUACAAGUAUUGGAAAGGAUGUGAAGAAAUUACAACUUUCAUACCUUGCUGGCAGGAAUGUAAAAUGGUGCAACCAUUUUGGAAAACAGUUUGGCAGUUUCUUCAGUCAGUAAAACAUACCAUAUGACCCAGCAAUUCCACCCCUAGUUGUAUACUUAAGAGAAAUGAAAAUGUGUGCACCCAAGAACUUGUAUAUGAAUGUUCAUAGCUGCAAAAUCCAUAACAGUCAUUAUGUGGAAACAACCUAAAUGUCUAUCAGCUGAUGUAUGAAUAAACAAAACAUGCUAUGUUCAUACAAUGGAAUAUUGUUUGGCCAUAGUAAGAAAUGGUACCAAUACAUGCUACAAUGUGAAUGAACCUUAAAAACAUGCUAAGUGAAAGAAGUCAGUCACAGAAAACCACAUAUAAUAUGAUUCUAUUGAUAUGAAAUAUCCAGAAUAGGCAAAUAUACAGAGAUAGAAAAAUUAGUGGUUGCCUAUGGGGAGGGGCUUGGGGAGUGGUAUCUAAAUGGUGCAGUUUCUUUUGGAGGUAGUGAAAAAGUUCUAAAAAAUGAUUGGGAGGCCAGGUGCAUGGCUCAGGCCUGUAAUCCCAGCACUUUCGAAGGCUGAGGCAGGAGGAUUGCUCGAGCCAAGGAGCUCAAGAUCAGCCUAGGCAACAUAGCGAGACCCCAUCUCUAUAAAAAAAAUUAAUUAAAGGAAAAAGAUGAUCAGGGCAGUAAAUACACAAGUCUGUGAUUAUACUAAAACCAUUGAAAUGUAAACUUUUAAUGGGUAAAUUGCAUAGUAUUUGGAUUAUAUCUGAAUAAAGCUGUUUUUAGAAAAAUA